CGCAAGGGGCGCACUAGGGUAAUACCGGUGACUGGGGCUAAGUCGUAACAAGGUAGCCGUACCGGAAGGUGCGGCUGGAACACCUCCUUUCUGGAGUUCGGACCGAUUGACAUAAACGGUUGCCCGAAAAAUUAAGGAGAAUUGGUUGAAGGUAGGUUUUUUUGCAACGGAACCGGUGUCGGAGACUUAUCCGAUCGGGGAAGAAGAAAAGACCAUAUAUCGCCUUCGGUUUCGGCUCUCGGCUUUUUUUUAUCCGAAAAACUUUACUGCACGGCGAAAAGCCAUAUUUGUUCGACGUAUGAAUAAAACGAAUAUAACCUGCGGAUAUUCCGGUGCAAUCAAUCGGGAUGUCCGGGAGGGUGUUCUCUCUCUUGAAUCGAAGAUAGAGAGAUCCAGGAAGAGAAGGAGUCUUUCCCUCCCCCGAGGCCUUGGUUCGUUUAUCUUUCGAGCUUUCCCUGCUUCGAACUUUGCUUCUUUUUUUGAAGCGAGGCAAAAAGGAAAAAUAAAGAGAGAUAAGGGGCAACGGUCAUGCAGCCCAAGGAGCUGCCACAGGCAGACGGAAGAGUUCGAAUAAGAGAGAAGCAGUCCUAUAGCUCAGUUGGUUAGAGCUGCUACACUGAUAAUGUAGAGGUCGGCAGUUCAACUCUGCCUGGGACUACGGGGGAUUAGCUCAGCUGGCUAGAGCACCUGCUUUGCAAGCAGGGGGUCAUCGGUUCGAAUCCGAUAUUCUCCUCGAAAAAAAUAGAAGGCGAUCAUUGACAUAUUGGAAGAAAAUCAAAUAAAGAAUUUAAGUAGAGCACAACAAGCUUAAGUAUACCGCCGGCGGCAAUUGAUUGCCGGGCGAACAAAAGUAAGCAAGGGC
rnacentral:misc_RNA from 1 species